CCUCACAGUGCGAUUGUGACAUAUAUGGAUGCUAGUGUGACUAUACAUGCAAAAUUGUCACUUGUAUGAUUCUGACUGGGACGAGUGUGAGUACAAUUACAAAAUGUGAUUUACACAGCAGGGCAAAAACAUUCUUAACAAAAAAUGAAUCAAGGCAAAACUGUUAGUUACAAACUCCGGUGAGAAUGACGAAAACAUGCACUGAGUCAUGGUAAAAUGAAAUUAACAAGAGCUCUACCUUCACACUAGAAUGGAAAACUGAACUCAACAGGGCUUGAUUUUGCUGCAAGCAUGGCAUGAAAUAGCUCUACCAAUUCCCCUCAAGCCAACUAACAGAUCUUGCAAAAUAUUGAGUGGUCUCAACUCCAAAGGUGUGUGGCUGAAAUCAUUCAUGAACUCAAUGGCUGUUUGCAGGUGACUUCCUAGUUUGUGCUCAGGCAAUUGAUUCUUACUGAAAUCUGAUAUGGAACAAUCCUCUCCAUCUGAUGCAGAGAGGAAUUCUGGACUCACUGUAGCAUCCUUUUGCCCAGCAGCUCCUUUGAGUUUCUCUACAGUUCUCAAGGAGACGUGGAAUACUGCUGAGACAAUACUUCCUUCUUUUGAUGGGAGAGGAUGGAAGCAGAGAGGAAGAGGAGUAGAUGGUGAUAAGGAGUGGCAAGGGUACAUGUACAGCAUGGCCUCAGUUAUUCAUAACUUUGUCACUUCUCCGCUGGACUACAGCAAUGUGAUAAACCAACCUGGGCAUGAAGCCUUCCGUGCUUAGGAAACUCCAACUAACACAAAAAACUUCAUUGCAUCUCCUCAGCAACAUAGGCUACUGUGAGCAUAUCAAACCUGUCCUUUGCUCUCUACACUGACUUCCCAUAUAAUUUCAAAUUAAGUCCAUGGUCUCAGUUCUUAUCUUCAAGGUGCUUCAUGGCUUGAUCCCAGGAUAUGUAGACAACUAGAUUCCUCUGCACAAUGGACCCCUCUACAAUAAGGGUAAAGCUUGUCCAUGCAGGAGACAGAACUUUCUUUGGGGCUGGUCUGAGACUGUGAAAUGAACUCCCCCUGGAAGUAAGAACCACUGCAAACCUCACCGCUGUUUGCUCCAAGACCAAGGCACAUUUCUUUGACCGUACCUUCUCCAACAUAAAUAUAUAGCAAUGUGCAUAGAUUUAAAAAAUAUCCCCCCUUCCUCCAGCUAGAAAACCCACAACUCUCUCCCAAAACAAGACACUCCAGUACAUGCGCUUCUCCCCCAUGUGGCAGUCAUGUUAGUCAAUGCACGACUUAGGUACUCAGAUACUAUGGUGAUGAGUGUGGCAUAAGAACCUUUACAGAAUAGCUAGGAUCACCAUGACAUCUGGGUGCCAACAAAAUUAAGCAACAUUCAGUCUGAAGGACUGCAUUU